UACGUAGGGUGCAAGCGUUAAUCGGAAUUACUGGGCGUAAAGCGUGCGCAGGCGGUUGUGCAAGACAGAUGUGAAAUCCCCGGGCUCAACCUGGGAACUGCAUUGUGACUGCACGGCUGGAGUGCGGCAGAGGGGGAUGGAAUUCCGCGUGUAGCAGUAAAAUGCGUAGAUAUGCGGAGGAACACCGAUGGCGAAGGCAAUCCCCUGGGCCUGCACUGACGCUCAUGCACGAAAGCGUGGGGAGCAAACAGG
rnacentral:rRNA from 1 species